rnacentral:rRNA from 1 species
UUAAUGGCCGCGGUACCCUGACCGUGCUAAGGUAGCGUAAUCAUUUGACUUUUAAAUGGAGUCAGGUAUGAAUGGAAUAACCUGGUUUAGCUGUCUCUAAAUUAAUUUUUUGAAAUUACUGUUUAAGUGAAAAAGCUUAAUUUAAGUUGAAGAGGGACGAGAAGACCCUUAGAAUUUUUUCUAAUAAAGUUUUGUUUUAAUGAUUUUGUUGGGGCGACAUAGAAAUAUUUAAAACUUUCUACAAAAGACAUACCGAUUAUAUUAAAAUGGGAUAAAUUACCUGAGGGAUAACAGCAUAAUUUUAUAAGUAAGUUUGUGACCUCGAUGUUGGACUAGGAAACUAGUAUGCUAGAAGCUUGCUUUGUGGGUUCUGUUCGAACUAUAAUUCCU